GUUUGGCUAGAACGCCCGUGUGCUUCAUUACUGUUUAGUACUAUUGCCAUUAUUUCAGAUGUUUCCUGUGUGACUGUGAGGCUGAGAGCCAACCACCUUGUCAGCAGAGCGGGUGAUCUGCAGAUCUGGAGAGCUGUCUCCUUCCCCUCCUUGGUCUGCUCUUUCCUCUCUGGAUUCGCCCUUCCCGGGCAAGUCAUUCAGAAGUGAAUCUGGAGCAGAAAGUAGAUGGUCACGGUCCACUUUGCUGGCAGUAAAGGCUGUCCGGCCUGAGUCGAACAUGGACCAGGAACAGCUGCCACCUCUACAGGCUCCGGUGUAGAAUGGUGGACAGUAAAGAUGGGAACCACUCCUGAGUUGAAAAUGCACAGUGCGCCAGGGUCUGUUGGUCCACGCUGGUGGCUGCUUGGUUGUGUCUGGUCUUGUCAACAAUUUCAUCAGGAAGUCUCCCACAUUUAUGAUGCUGAUACAAAGAGCCAUGCCAGUCAUAAAAGGGUACAUUCACUUGCUUACGAGGUUGCAGUAGUCUUGCUGCCCUGGGUGGUCUGCUGGGAGGGGUGAUCUGUGCUUGGGCUCCAUGAACACACAGAGGAAUAAGGGGUGGAUGUGCUGUAACCCCUUCCACAGGGAGCUAAGUCAGGCACUCCAGGUGGCAUGGCUCCUGGAAGGUGUCUCCUCCACGUCCAGCAUGUAGAGAUGUGACAGGGGUGGCCAGCCCUGGGAAUGAGUUAGCUGCGAAGGCUCAGAGGGGACAGCUUUGUCACUCGGGUGCUGCCUAAACUUCCUGUGUUUUCUUUUCUUUUGGGUUUCUUUCUUUGGCCCUACCUCCACCCCUUUCCUCUCCAAUCCCAGGCUCUGAUGGGACAAGGGGAACCGAGGGAGAGAUGGCUGACUACAACUGGGCCGGAGCUUUGAAGGACAAACCGUGACGCCAAGGCUGACACGAUGGUGGAUGCCAGAGUCAGAGGGAAAGCAGAGCGAGGAGAAAGAGGACACUCAGGGGAGACAUCAGUGCAGUCUGGUCAGUUGCCAUCUCUCCACCUGGAGAGUCAGCUUCCAGUUUGAAAACCUUGG
rnacentral:lncRNA from 1 species